GGCCGGGCGCGCGCCGCAGGAGGGGCGUGGCCGGGGGCGUGGCCACAGCUGGACCACGCCCAGCACCGACCUUGUUCCCGGGACGCGCCGCCGCCGCUCGGAGCGGGCUGAUCCCGCCGAUCCCCGACCCGCCGCCGCAGAGGCCGACAUGAGCACGUCCUUCCUGUGUUAGGGCUGCCCUUCACCACGUCCGUGACCCCAGCCCGGCGGCGAGGAUGCGCGCCUGGAAGGCGGUUGCCAGCACGCUGGCGCUCAGCGGGGCCGAUGUGGCGGUCACCACGCUGCUCUACACCCACGGCCAGGGCGGCCGCAAUGUCCUGCAGGACCUGCGGCACUUCAACAUCUUCAACUCGCUGCUGGACAUCUGGGGGGGCUGCCUGUACCGCAGCUGCGUGCUGCUGGGGGCCGCCAUCGGCGUGGCCACCAACACGGCCUACGGCCCCCGGCGCCUCAGGGCAUCGCGGACCUUCAUCGCCGUCGUCUGCCUCCUCAUGGGCAUCUACAUGAUGGUGAAGCUGCUGCUCUACUCGGAGGUGCGGAAGACCAUCAGGGACCCCUGGUUCUGGGGGCUCUUUGCCUGGACCUACGUGGCGCUGGCGGCCACCUUCGGGCUGUGGCAGCUGCUGGCCUGUGUCACCUCCUCCCGCGAGGCGCUGGGGCCCAGCUCCGAGUCCCGUGCCGAGGUGGAGGAGAGCUGUGAUGGGGGCACCCCGAGGGACAAGAGGGAGGAGGCAGCAGGUCCCACCAUCCAUAAACUGCUGUCCUACACCAAGCCGGAUGCCUUCUUCCUGGGCAUCGCCUCCUUCUUCCUCCUCGUGGCCGCCUUGGGAGAGACCUUCCUGCCCUACUACACAGGGCUGGCCAUCGACGGCAUCGUGGUGCAGAAGAGUAUGGAUCGCUUCUCCACGGCAGUGCUGGUCAUGUCACUGCUGGCCAUAGGAAGCUCAUUUGCCGCAGGUAUCCGGGGCGGCGUUUUUACGCUCAUCUUUGCACGGCUGAACAUCCGCCUUCGGAACUGCCUCUUCAGGUCCCUGGUGUCUCAGGAGAUGAGUUUUUUUGAUGAGAAUCGCACAGGGGAUGUCAUCUCCCGCCUGACGUCGGACACGACCAUCGUGAGCGACCUGGUCUCGCAGAACAUCAACAUCUUCCUGCGCAACGUGGUGAAGGCCACGGGCGUCAUCUUCUUCAUGUUCAGCCUGUCCUGGAAGCUCUCCCUGGUCACCUUCAUGGGCUUCCCCAUCAUCAUGCUGGUGUCUGAUGUCUAUGGGAAGUACUACCAGAAGCUCUCCAAGGAUGUGCAGAGCGCUCUGGCCAAGGCCAACAACACGGCUGAGGAGACCAUCUCGGCCAUGAAGACCGUCCGCAGCUUUGCCAACGAGGAGACGGAGGCCAACGUGUACUGGCAGAAGCUGCAGCAGGUGUACAAGCUCAACAAGCGGGAGGCCAUGGCUUACACCUACUAUGUCUGGUCCAGUGGGCUGACCCUGCUGGUGGUCCAGGUCAGCAUCCUUUACUACGGUGGGCACCUCGUGAUCUCUGGGCAAAUGACAAGUGGAAACCUGAUAUCCUUCAUCAUUUAUGAGUUCGUCCUGGGGGACUGCAUGGAGUCCAUCGGCUCCGUGUACAGCGGCCUCAUGCAGGGCGUGGGGGCUGCUGAGAAGGUUUUUGAGUUCAUCGACCGCCAGCCCACCAUGGUGCACGACGGCUCCCUGGCCCCGGAUCACGUGGAUGGGAAGGUGGAGUUCAGGAAUGUCACCUUUUCCUACCGCACUCGCUCCGCCACCCAGGUCCUCCAGGACGUGUCCUUCACCCUGCACCCUGGCAAAGUGACAGCGCUGGUGGGUCCUUCAGGGAGUGGGAAGAGCUCCUGUGUCAACAUCCUGGAGAACUUCUACCCUCUGCAGGACGGGCAGGUGCUGCUGGAUGGGCGUCCCAUUAACAUGUACGAUCACAAGUACCUGCACUCCGUGAUCUCCCUGGUGAGCCAGGAGCCCGUGCUGUUCGCCCGCUCCAUUGCAGACAAUAUUUCCUAUGGCUUGGCUUCAGCCUCCUUCGAGUCCGUGGUCCAGGCUGCCCAGAAGGCCAACGCCCACAACUUCAUCACGGAGCUGCAGGACGGCUACCACACAGAGGCUGGGGAAAAAGGAGCUCAGCUGUCAGGUGGGCAGAAGCAGAGAGUGGCGAUUGCCAGGGCCUUGAUCCGAGCCCCUCCCAUCCUCAUCCUGGACGAAGCCACGAGCGCGCUGGAUGCAGAGAGCGAGCACGCGAUUCAGCAGGCGAUUUACGGCGACUUGCAGAACCACACGGUGCUUGUCAUAGCCCACAGGCUGAGCACUGUGGAGAGGGCACACAACAUCAUUGUGCUGGACAAGGGCCGCGUGGUGCAGCAGGGCUCGCACAAGGAGCUGAUGGAAGAAGGAGGCCUUUAUUCCAAGCUGGUGCAGAGACAGAUCCUGGGGCUGGAGGGGGGCGGCACGGACAGUGGCCAGCCUGCAGCCCGGGGGGAUGCAGCCAAGGCGCCCGGAGGGCUGCAGGAGGAGUUCAGGAUAGACCAUUCCCUGCCGGCCGCGGCACAGGACGAUUUCACCAACGCCGCGCCCAAGUGAGGGCGGCCGGCGCUCGGACGCUCCCUGGGAUGGAGGUGGCAGAACGGCUGGGAUGGAGGUGGCAGAACGGCUGGGAUGGAGGUGGCAGAACUGCUGGGAUGGAGGUGGCAGAACGGCUGGGAUGGAGGUGGCAGAACUGCUGGGAUGGAGGUGGCAGAACGGCGCCGCUGGCUCGCCCCACGUCACGCACCCUGCACACCCAAACACACACCAUAGAGCUUCCUGCAGGACACCCUGCCGGCCGGCAAAACAGGGAUUCACUGGAGGGAGCUGGGUCUUUAGCAAUUCUCAGCAUUUCUACUGGGUUCCUUUUCUUACUACCAGUAACUCCUCUCGACUGGGACUUUUCUCCCAUCGAUCUGCAUGUGUAACUGCUAUUAACUGUAAUGGAUGUUAAAUGCAUGCGUGGGGGGGAAGGUUGAAAACCCCUCCAGGAAUUUCAGGGGGUGGCUUUUGUGGCUGGAUAGAAAAAUGAUGACUGUAAAGCGAGGUCGUGCUCCCUCUGUCAAUCUAUGGGGCUAAUCCAAAGUUGGCUGAAGCCUGUAGGGAGCUCCCUUUGGCUUUGGUGAAAACUGGAUCACUCCCAUGGAGCUGAAUGCCGGGAGAGUUUUGCACUGAGUGCCUGCAGGCUCAGGCUCUCAACCAUUGCUGCUGAGCUUGUAUUACGUAGUAUCCAUCCUUGCUGGGACAAGCCGGGGGACUGGGAGGCAGAUGUUACUCUCUGAUUUGCUCUUGGUGCUUGGUGGGUGUUUGUUUUUAAGGAUGAAAUGUUUUACCAUAACAGGGUUAGGUUUUGGGGCUUGGGGUUUUUUUUGGUUCGAUUUGUUUGUAGUUUUUUAACGUUAUUUGUGUGCACUGUGCAAUGUCUGUCUGGCUCCAGCAUCCACUGAAAAUUGGUCUGUUAUUUCAGAAUUUUUUUUAACUCACAACCCCGGUGCUGGUGUGAAAAAAAAAACACUACUAAAGACAGGCAAAAAACACUACAAUACAGCACUUUAUAAAUCCCACCAAAGCUUUGUUCAGCUUCAGGCCAUGCUAGCGACUUCACUGCAUGGGAAAUCCGUUCUGUCACGUUCCUUGAAGUCCAGCUUCAGCUGCCUGAACUUUAUAAUGUGUUUCUUUGAAAAUAAUUUAUUUUAGUAUGAGGGGUAGAAAGAAAUGUGUCGCUCCUAGCCCUUUGGGGUAAUGGCUCUGGCUUCGUAGUGUUAUCUUGCUAUAGAUUGGUGAAAAAUCCUAUGCAGCCAGGCAAGUGCUGUUUUAAAAAUAGCAUUUCUAGGGGAACACUGACUUCAGACUCUGCAUAGUUAAGAAAUUCUCUCAAGCACUUUAGCUCUCAUGUUUUCUGAUACUUGAAUGCUGCUGCAUUUUCCUUUCCAGCAGGUUUGCAUUUUUGUUAUUGGCAAUGUUUUGUUUUCAGUUAGUGAUGUUUUACAAACUCUAAAUUUAGUGUCCUUGAGGAGGGAUGCUCAAAAGAAAUAAAAUACUACCUCUGCCACUCAA